rnacentral:rRNA from 1 species
GGCCUGCGCGGAAGAUGUAACGGGGCUAAACCAUGCACCGAAGCUGCGGCAGCGACACUGUGUGUUGUUGGGUAGGGGAGCGUUCUGUAAGCCUGUGAAGGUGUGUCGUGAGGCAUGCUGGAGGUAUCAGAAGUGCGAAUGCUGACAUAAGUAACGAUAAAGCGGGUGAAAAGCCCGCUCGCCGGAAGACCAAGGGUUCCUGUCCAACGUUAAUCGGGGCAGGGUGAGUCGACCCCUAAGGCGAGGCCGAAAGGCGUAGUCGAUGGGAAACGGGUUAAUAUUCCCGUACUUGGUGUUACUGCGAAGGGGGGACGGAGAAGGCUAUGUUGGCCGGGCGACGGUUGUCCCGGUUUAAGCGUGUAGGUGUGUGUUCCAGGUAAAUCCGGUUCACUUUAACACUGAGGCGUGACGACGAGGCACUACGGUGCUGAAGCAACAAAUGCCCUGCUUCCAGGAAAAGCCUCUAAGCAUCAGGUAACAUCAAAUCGUACCCCAAACCGACACAGGUGGUCAGGUAGAGAAUACCAAGGCGCUUGAGAGAACUCGGGUGAAGGAACUAGGCAAAAUGGUGCCGUAACUUCGGGAGAAGGCACGCUGACACGUAGGUGAAGUGAUUUACUCAUGGAGCUGAAGUCAGUCGAAGAUACCAGCUGGCUGCAACUGUUUAUUAAAAACACAGCAC